rnacentral:rRNA from 1 species
GAUGAACGCUGGCGGCGUGCCUAAUACAUGCAAGUCGAGCGAACAGACGAGGAGCUUGCUCCUCUGACGUUAGCGGCGGACGGGUGAGUAACACUGGAUAACCUACCUAUAAGACUGGGAUAACUUCGGGAAACCGGAGCUAAUACCGGAUAAUAUAUUGAACCGCAUGGUUCAAUAGUGAAAGACGGUUUUGCUGUCACUUAUAGAUGGAUCCGCGCCGCAUUAGCUAGUUGGUAAGGUAACGGCUUACCAAGGCAACGAUGCGUAGCCGACCUGAGAGGGUGAUCGGCCACACUGGAACUGAGACACGGUCCAGACUCCUACGGGAGGCAGCAGUAGGGAAUCUUCCGCAAUGGGCGAAAGCCUGACGGAGCAACGCCGCGUGAGUGAUGAAGGUCUUCGGAUCGUAAAACUCUGUUAUUAGGGAAGAACAAAUGUGUAAGUAACUAUGCACGUCUUGACGGUACCUAAUCAGAAAGCCACGGCUAACUACGUG